rnacentral:rRNA from 1 species
GACGAACGCUGGCGGCGUGCUUAACACAUGCAAGUCGAACGAAGAGCGAUGGAAGCUUGCUUCUAUCAAUCUUAGUGGCGAACGGGUGAGUAACGCGUAAUCAACCUGCCCUUCAGAGGGGGACAACAGUUGGAAACGACUGCUAAUACCGCAUACGAUCUAAACUCGGCAUCGAGGAUAGAUGAAGGGUGGCCUCUACAUGUAAGCUAUCACUGAAGGAGGGGAUUGCGUCUGAUUAGCUAGUUGGAGGGGUAACGGCCCACCAAGGCGAUGAUCAGUAGCCGGUCUGAGAGGAUGAACGGCCACAUUGGGACUGAGACACGGCCCAGACUCCUACGGGAGGCAGCAGUGGGGAAUCUUCCGCAAUGGACGAAAGUCUGACGGAGCAACGCCGCGUGAGUGAUGACGGCCUUCGGGUUGUAAAGCUCUGUUAAUCGGGACGAAAGGCCUUCUUGCGAAUAGUGAGAAGGAUUGACGGUACCGGAAUAGAAAGCCACGGCUAACUACGUG